AUGGACUCGACUCCUUGAAUCAGCAGCAGCAGCAGCAGCAGCAACACGCAGGCUCAAUAUCUAACAACCAAACACAGGCAGCAACAAUAGAGGAGAGAACCAACCCUGGGACACGCGCCACCUAUCGUCACGGGAGGGGAUAAUUGAACAGGACCAAACGUGAGCAUCUUUUGCUAAACGUGAUACGUUUUUUUCCCCCUCUCUUCCAGGCUGUUUGAUCCGAGUGAAAUGAACUGUGACUGUCGGACUAUGACUACCAUGUAUAGGAGCCGAAGAAGAAAGAAUAUUACCCAGAAGAAAAAAAGUUGGAACACUCUUAUUCAACCCACAACUGGAAGGGGGAAAACGGACCAAAAUGAUAGCGUUGGAAGUUUGACAGACUCUCACAUAUACCAGGGAUGAAAAUAUAAGGUUUGCAGAGUGUUAAGGAAGUGAGCAUCAGCGGUUUGGGUCGUUGAUGUUUAAUAUUUGUUAACGUUUAUUUAUUUGCCUCCCUCUACGGACGUGCGUUUAUUUUUACUAGCGCAAUAACCACUAUGAGUGGAGCGUGUAUAACGGCGCAUGCCCCAUGCAUCUACAAGAGCGACAGAGAUGUGUAUACUGAGGUGCUUCUCGCACGUGCCAGGUGCAGUCAGGUGCGUACAGGUACUUUAGUUGAAGUUUUCCCUGCGUGUUUUAAACAAAGUAUAUGUGAACUCAUCACUCUGACCAGGAUUGAAAGACGUCAAGUGUGUACUUUAUACAUCUUUUUCACAGGUGUUAUUCAAGGUUAUAUCGAACGAACAUAUUUCACUCUAUUGCAACUAUAUGCCAUGGUUAUUACUCCAAUUAAGGUUUCUCUAUUUGAUGUAUUUACGUAUUUCCUUGUGAUGCUGCUGCUUCAACGUCUGUCUGUCUCGCGCUAUAGAUGGAGAGGAAGGCUCCACCUUUGCAACGCUGUGAUUGGUUAUGUAAAUAAAGUAUUAUAUUUGCUGUCCUGUCCUAUGCAGUUAUCAACUGUAUGGAUAAUUAAAUCAUCAAUCAAGACUGCUCGACUGUUUGAUGCCUUUUGUCCCAAGCCAAUCAGAUUCCAGAGAACUCGGAAGCACAGCUCGAGAGGAAAAGGUGCUCGAACAUCUGGCAUUAAAUGUUCCAAAAGACGGUCGAUAAAGACAACACAGCUGAACAUAGAUUGCUAUUAGAGUAUUUUUCAAUAUUUUUUAUCUGCAAUUAAUUUGAAUGAAUUAUAUAUACCUGUACUAAUUAUAAUUCGGAUUAUUAUUAACAAUAUGAAUAUAAUGUUGUAUUUGUAAUUUUAUGAUUAUUAUGUUAAUUAUUACAUGUACAGUAUUGUAUUUAUUUACAGCCUACUACUCUAUUUAUGUUGCACUGUUAUAUUUUCAUGAGCAAGUUACGUACAAAAUAACUUUGUUGUCAUUUAUGCAGCGGUUAUUGGUCACAGCCAGGUGAUAGAGCGUUACAGACUUGAAGAAGGGGACCCGCUUUACUGCAGCUGGUAGGUAGGCUACUCCUAACUCAAGUUUUGCAGCUCCACGGAGUUAUCUGCGUUGUGUGUUAAUGCUAUGUACAGCGUGUGUGAGAGAUGAAGACUGAUGUAGGCGUGUGAUUCGCUUCCGACGUUGACAGCAAAUAAUAGCCUGCAAUUGCAUGCCAGAUAAAGACGCAAAGUCAUUCAUUUUAAGUGCGCACUGAAUGUAUGUCAAGCAAGUGCAGGGUCUCUGUCUGACUUGCCAAAUCCCUCUGUGCUGCCGCUCAACAACUGGAGCGGUGUCCCUCUGCUCAUUCAUCCCCGCGCGCUCUGAGUGACACCGCUCCUUGCUUUCAGCUUGAAUAUUUUAUACAAACACAUACAGCGUGAAAAGGGAUUACUGACGAUAGUUGACCUUUAGGGGGGGACAUUAGGGUUAAUGAAUCUGUUAAUUUAAUUGACAGGAAACACAACACACUCUUGUGGCUCUAGAAAGCAAGUGUCUUUAUUUGUACGUGCCAUGUUUGCUAGCAUGAGUAUCAAUACAGCAUAUACAUGCCCUAUAUGCCCGUUGUCCGUUUUAUCAUUACUUAUGUAUUUAGCAAGGAAUCAAAUAUGACCGUUUCAUGAAGCAGUAAAUGCAUAUAGGCUAUAUGUCAAUUUCAACUAGGUUGACAUUUAAAUGAUCAUGUGGUGCAACAAUAACACUGUAAAGCUUAUAUCCUAUGCACCACAGAAGCAGUAUUGGCCCAUGGUUUGUAACAUAGUGUUGCAGUACAGAAUACACAGUGGAAUCAGUAAUGAUCCUGCUAUUUAACCUGGUACUUAUUCAACCAGUCAACUGGUUUACACACCUGCCAGGUAUAAGGAUCCUAGCGUUAAAAUACCGUGCAUUUAUAUUUUUAAACAAGCAAGGAUUACAAAAUAUGUCAAAGUCAUUACUGUCCGUUUAGGGUCCCGAAAUUACCCUCGUUAGGUGGAACAUAUUUUGCAAGAAAGGGGGAAAGGUGGAGAAUGAAGAGUGAAUCCAAGACCUUUUUUUUCUGCCACACUUUGAAAUCAGAGAACAGAUGGUGACUCCGUUCAGCUCAUAGACUACACUGGUGAAGCGCACUACUGUUCAUGAUUAUAUCAGGCACCAGAUUUGACUCCCCACGUGCUAUAACAGUAUCGUAAGCAUAAUACGUAUUUCCUUUGUAUGCUAAUAAGAUGUUUUGUCUGACCACAACACAUUGGCGAGAUAACUUGACAGGUAAAAGUACAGCCGCUACACAAAUGACAGUCUGUUGUAUGAUUACAAACCAGCCACAAAAUUAUUAUAUUUCCCCAAAGAUAUAUCAUUUCUGUUGUCCUCCCCAUACAGUCCCAUGGAAACACAGCUAUAUCUUUGGAUUCCAACUCCCUGCAGGACUGCUGUUCUGUGCUGAGAAAGGAGCGGCGAUCGCGAUGAAAUUGCUCCCCGGAAACGUUACAUCUAUGCUAAAACUUAGGAGGAGGAGGACGAGGAGGAGGAGGAGGAGGCACAGGUGGUGGUGGGGAAAGCAUCUAAUGGAUUGGAAUCCCCAAACUAAAUAAUAGAGCCAGGGGUGAGGGGGACGAGUGGCGGAGGAGGAGAACAGGACUGUGUCAUUUCCUGUACAUGAGAACAUACCCCAAAGCUGCUCUACAUUUCACUGUUUUAAUGUCUCCCCUGAAUCAUUUCACAUACCACAAGUACGGUAUAUGAUACAUUAUGUUCAGCAAGAUUUAUGUCGAAGGCAAUUCAACGUCUUCCACCAGGUCUGACUGCCUUUACUUAUAUCCUAUAUACCCCUGACAGCUCCUUACAGCGAUGGUGAGUAUACAUUAUGUCUGAGGCCCUAAACACACAGUUGACAGCCUUCUAAAGGUGUUCGGUAUACAAUGCAAUGUAUACGGGCCUAAAUGAUAAUGGUGUGACACAAAGCAUCUUUCCCAGAUCACAGCUUUCCAUCUAGUUUGUUUGUAACUCUCCCUCUCCCUCCCGACACUACAAUGACGACAACAUUGCCUGUAGAUCUCUCUAUGGGACCCGUUCUGUGGUAUUCUGAUCCCACUGCCGUAAAUAGCUGUAGAUGUUAUGCCAUUUUAAACUCCGCCCGUUGCUCGCAGUGUACCGAGUAAAGAGCAUGAGCGAUUGAUGGACAAUUAGAGAGCAGAGGUGACCGUGUGUGUUCGUGUGAUCUUUGCGGAGAAGUCUCAAACGCGCAACGUGAUUUUGGUUUACAUUCGCCACAGGCCUUACAGGCAAACGAGCACUUCUCCUUUUGCUUGUGCUUUUCUCAAAAACACUUCAGAUGUUUCUCAGUGUAUAUAAAAGAAAGUGAGUGAGAGAGAGAGCGAGAGAGAGAGAGAGAGAGAGAGAGAGAGAGAGAGAGAGAGAGAGAGAGAGAGAGAGAGAGAGAUCAAAAAGUAACAGAACAGCUUGCUUAGAAACAAAAAGCUUACAUCAGAAACGGAUUGAUUUUUCUUCUGUUGGUUGCUCUUGUUAAAAUCAACAGAGUAAGUGCAUGGUGAUUGAGACGGCGAAUGACAACGUAUUCAUUUGCGCAGCUCAAUAAGAGAGACAGAUCAGAUGUUCUGCUUUACUUUGUGUCUUUCCUUUGGAAAGAGGUCAGGUCCCCAGUGGCCAGAAAAGUAACAGAUUGGUGGAGGGAGGCUGUGGGGGACUCAGAAAGACCAGCGUUUCUGUUUUAAUAUUUUGAUUGUCCCUCUUUGUGAAGCAUAUAUACCAAGAAAGGAUAAAGACAGAAAACACAGUCAAUUAAUGUUUGGCAUGGACAACAGUUUGUCCUCUUUUACCUAAAGGUAAGCUGUUCAGGAAAACAGAAAACGUAUUUCACUCUCGACUCCAAAGAUGACUUAUCACUCCCUGCGAUUAAUAAAUGAGUGUGGCUAUGAUGCGUUAUUAAUAAAACAUUUGAACAAUU